GAUCAUGGCUCAGGAUGAACGCUAGCUACAGGCUUAACACAUGCAAGUCGAGGGGCAGCAUGAACUUAGCUUGCUAAGUUUGAUGGCGACCGGCGCACGGGUGAGUAACACGUAUCCAACCUGCCGAUGACUCGGGGAUAGCCUUUCGAAAGAAAGAUUAAUACCCGAUGGCAUAGUUCUUCCGCAUGGUGGAACUAUUAAAGAAUUUCGGUCAUCGAUGGGGAUGCGUUCCAUUAGGUUGUUGGCGGGGUAACGGCCCACCAAGCCUUCGAUGGAUAGGGGUUCUGAGAGGAAGGUCCCCCACAUUGGAACUGAGACACGGUCCAAACUCCUACGGGAGGCAGCAGUGAGGAAUAUUGGUCAAUGGACGAGAGUCUGAACCAGCCAAGUAGCGUGAAGGAUGACUGCCCUAUGGGUUGUAAACUUCUUUUAUACGGGAAUAAAGUGAGGCACGUGUGCCUUUUUGUAUGUACCGUAUGAAUAAGGAUCGGCUAACUCCGUG
rnacentral:rRNA from 1 species